rnacentral:rRNA from 1 species
GCCGCGUGUAUGAAGAAGGCCUUCGGGUUGUAAAGUACUUUCAGUUGUGAGGAAGGGGGUAGCGUUAAUAGCGCUAUCUCUUGACGUUAGCAACAGAAGAAGCACCGGCUAACUCCGUGCCAGCAGCCGCGGUAAUACGGAGGGUGCGAGCGUUAAUCGGAAUUACUGGGCGUAAAGCGCAUGCAGGUGGUUCAUUAAGUCAGAUGUGAAAGCCCGGGGCUCAACCUCGGAACUGCAUUUGAAACUGGUGAACUAGAGUGCUGUAGAGGGGGGUAGAAUUUCAGGUGUAGCGGUGAAAUGCGUAGAGAUCUGAAGGAAUACCAGUGGCGAAGGCGGCCCCCUGGACAGACACUGACACUCAGAUGCGAAAGCGUGGGGAGCAAACAGGAUUAGAUACCCUGGUAGUCCACGCCGUAAACGAUGUCUACUUGGAGGUUGUGGCCUUGAGCCGUGGCUUUCGGAGCUAACGCGUUAAGUAGACCGCCUGGGGAGUACGGUCGCAAGAUUAAAACUCAAAUGAAUUGACGGGGGCCCGCACAAGCGGUGGAGCAUGUGGUUUAAUUCGAUGCAACGCGAAGAACCUUACCUACUCUUGACAUCCAGAGAAGCCAGCGGAGACGCAGGUGUGCCUUCGGGAACUCUGAGACAGGUGCUGCAUGGCUGUCGUCAGCUCGUGUUGUGAAAUGUUGGGUUAAGUCCCGCAACGAGCGCAACCCUUAUCCUUGUUUGCCAGCGAGUAAUGUCGGGAACUCCAGGGAGACUGCCGGUGAUAAACCGGAGGAA